CCCAUCUCGGAGGGGGAAAGGGAGGAGGAGGCGCCUCUGCCCGGCCGAUCGGUCUCCGCCUACGCGCGGAAUUUUCCCGCCUCGCCGCUCUUCCCGAAAGGGGAAAAUCAUCCCAUGACCCUGGAACACGGCAACCAUCAUGAGUAUAAAUCAGUUGUCAAGCAUCUGUAUGUAAAUCACAUGACCAUGGGGGUGCUGCAAAGUAAACAAUAACAAGACACUGGAUUUAUCGAUCAUAUGUAUAGGAUCAGAAUGACCUGUGGAAAACUCGACCAUCUAGAAAAUUGCUAAACUGGCCUCAAAGCUGGAAAUGAGUCAGGCCAUCAUGAUGCAACAUUUUGAAGAGGAGAUGCUCUUUAGAAAUGGCCAGGAAGCUGAUGCAAAUGAUCCCUGACCCUGCAUGACAAGAAAAAGAAUGGCCUAAUUUAGUUGUUGCAACCACUUAGAACAUCUCUAAAUGAAUGGCUGCCACUAAGUGUAUUAAAUUAUAGCUGAUGAUUAGCCUCUCUCAUAAUGACUGCCUCAUGUUUUAUGUUUCACAUCCCAUCUGGCAUUUUUCACAUAAAACGUCAAGAGGUUCACAUGUGU